GCAACCCUCAUGCACCAGGUCGGAACAUCACUUACUCAGUUUUAGGUGUGCCAGGCUGCCCUACCCCUCAUCAAGAUGGAGGGGCCGCUGGACCAAAUCUGAGUGGGCACUGUGGUUGCCAGUGAUGCUGCUCCUCACUGCUGCCACAGGGCCAGCCCCUAUACCAAAGCUCCACACACACCCCACCACAGGGGUUCUCCUCAGCUUUGUCCCACUACCAGCAGCCCAUGUCCUCUCUGCUCUGCCUACAGGACUCACUCAUAAACAUCCUCAAGACCUGCCUCAAGUAUGGGGAGGUGAGACCCAUGGCACGCAGAGCUCCAGAUGGACUGCAGGCUACCUGAUGAGCCCAGAGAAGAGAAUGCACCAGCUGGAGCUAUGCUACCCGAGGAUCCCAGAGACCCAGGGGAACUGUGGAGCAUCACCAAGGGAGAAAGGCAGGUUCCAGGCAGUUCCUUACCAACCCAUUUACUGCGGCACUGACACCAGGGUGAUAGCCACACUUCAAGUCCUGAGCUGCCUCCAAGAGCUGACUUAACCCUUAUUCCUCCAUGAACAAUGCACAGUACAGAGGGAAACUU